GGGAACUUAGCUCAGUUGGUAGAGCAGCGGACUCUUAAUCCGGUGGUCGAGGGUUCGAGCCCCUCAGUUCCCA
rfam:Comamonadaceae bacterium CG1_02_60_18 cg1_0.2_scaffold_8329_c, whole genome shotgun sequence.